rnacentral:rRNA from 1 species
GUCUACGGCCAUACCACCCUGAACGCGCCCUAUCUCGUCUGAUCUCGGAAGCUAAGCAGGGUCGGGCCUGCUUAGUACUUGGAUGGGAGACUAUAUCAAACCCUUCUUCCAAUUAGUGUCAGUGGCAAAUA